AGAGUUUGAUCAUGGCUCAGAGCGAACGCUGGCGGCGUGCCUAACACAUGCAAGUCGAACGUGAAAUGGGGCAACCCAAAGUAAAGUGGCGUACGGGUGAGUAACACGUAGGUAAUCUACCAAAGUGUCUGGAAUAACCGGCCGAAAGGCUGGCUAAUACUGGAUAGAGCGACGGGAUCCGUAAUUGGGUCUUUCGGGAAAGGGAGCUCGCAAGAGCCUUCGCACUUUGAUGAGCCUGCGUCUCAUUAGCUAGUUGGCGGGGUAACGGCCCACCAAGGCAUUGAUGAGUAGCUGGUCUGAGAGGAUGAUCAGCCACACUGGAACUGAAACACGGUCCAGACUCCUACGGGAGGCAGCAGUGGGGAAUCUUGCGCAAUGGACGAAAGUCUGACGCAGCCACGCCGCGUGAGUGAAGAAGGCCUUCGGGUUGUAAAGCUCUGUCGGAGGGGACGAACAUUUUCUGGGUUAACAGCCCAGGGAACUGACGGUACCCUCAAAGGAAGCACCGGCUAACUUCGUGCCAGCAGCCGCGGUA
rnacentral:rRNA from 1 species